GCCCAGAACACGCAUGCGCGGUCGAACUUCAUCGGCAGCAUUGGACACACACUGGAGAAUGAAUGGACUUUGACUGCCCUGGCUCAAGGCUAGGGAAUCCUGGGAUCACCUAAUGAGAAGAAAGACAAGAUGAAAGAUUGAUUCCCAAGUGCCAGGAAAAAUUAAUCUCAAAGAAAAAGAACAAACACUGCAGCAUCCCCAUUCCUGGACAAGUGCUAUAUGACGAAGCACUAAAACAGAAGCAAAAAAGAAAAGAGGUGGGAAAGAAAAGAAAACUUUAGGGAGCAGAACUGAACAAUUUAUGAAUUGUGAUUGUUAUUGAAUUAAAUUUUUUAUAUACUUUUUUA